UAUGUAUUUGUCUCGAUAUAGGGCGAA
rnacentral:sRNA from 1 species